rnacentral:lncRNA from 1 species
AUCAGGAGGACUGAAACUGUAAACACAAGCUGGUAUUUUGGUGUGAUCACGCUAAUAUGGCGGUUUGUGAGGUCAAGGGGUGGAAGGUGAAUUAUGGAUCCAGAAUUUCCUUGCUUUUGUCAGUUUAAGUCAGGCUGCUUGCGAGUAGCUGCUUUUCAAACUUGAAUAACUCAGCUAUUUUAAAGCAAUGGAGACCUACCUUAAAUAAUUAGAGGGGCUACACUGGAGAAGUGUCUUCCCAGGAAAGUAGUGGAGGCUCCAUUCUGCAGAACCUUUAAAAUUAGACCAUGAAAGGCAUGUAACAGCCUCGUUCUCAACAUAACCAUGAGUUGUUCACAGCAUAAAGUGUUGGGUAAAACAACCCAAGGUCUUUAUAAAACUUCUCAUCUCAAUGGAAAACCAUUUAGGUGGCUUGUUUUAUUAUUAGAAGUUCACUUAACAAAAAAAUGGAAAAUAGUUUAUUUAACUGUCCAGUGUACCCUAAAAAGAAAUGAACCAAGUUUCAGACAGAACUCGGAAUACUUCUCCCACUUUGCUGUUGAGGAAAAAAUUAUCUUUGUUGUUUAGUUACAGGCAGUAUGAUAAGGAACAAUCUGAAUGACACGUAAACAGGAGGGGGUAAAUUCCAAGCACAGCCUGAAUGAGAAGUACAACUCAUUUCCUGUAACCUAGAUGCCUUUUUAACACAUCUAUGCAGUCUCCAUGUGAAACCAGGUGCUGUUCCCAAAGGAGAAAACACUGCCCUCCAGUGGUCUUCAAUGAAGAAAUGGAAAUAGUUUCAGGUGGAAACCAGGCUUCUUGGAAGACUUCAAACUAUGCCAAAUGGUCUGAUUUCACCAUAGAGAAUGUUAUACUAUUAAUUGCCAAUUUGCAUAUGUGUGCAGCUGCUGUUUUGGCUCUGAACUCAAUCCGAUAAGCUUGCUGGAGGUAUCGCAGAGCACUUGGCAGCUUUCCUAUUUGAAAAGAAAGCCUCUCCCCUCUACAGAACAGCUGAUCGUCUAUCAGCGAUAGACCCUGAUG